GAGGGGGGUGAAUAGGUGAAAGAGCCAAAAACCACAAAUCUCAAUGCGAUAAAAAUAAAUGCGAAAAAUAAAAAUCACACCGAGAUUUACGUGAAAAAACUCCAAUUUGGAGAAAAACCCACGGGACCAACACGCAAAAAAAAAUUCACUAAGAGAAAAGAUUACAAGGUGAUUACCGACUACACGGACUCAACCUCUCUUAACCUCCUAUUAAUCUCGUGCAAUCCUCCGGGUUGUCCACGCCCUCACGCUCGAAUCCACGAACGCCACGUCUCGAAUCCACGAAAUGCCUCGCACACGUCCGAAUCCACGAACGCCACUCGAAUCCACGAGCCUUUGAUCCGAAUCCUCGAACCGUCGUUAAUCACGCCGAAUCCACGACGCCGUUUAUGAAGAGCAUC
rnacentral:lncRNA from 1 species